UCACCUCUUUCAAAACGCAUCUUCCUCUCCCACAGCCGCAAGAAACGUACACGACCAUUUUCGCAGGUCAGUGACAGAGGUGAGAAGGGAGGGAGCCGUUGAGUUUGUUGGAGUAAAGGUCGAAGCUUUAAAACCUACUCGACCAUCUUCGCGACCAGUGACAGAGGUGAGAAGGGAGGGAGGUAAGGAUCGGCUCUGUAAGAAGCUUUGUAAGCAUAAUGGUUACGCCACUGCUCCGACCAACCCGUUCAAUCUGCAGAUUUUACCUUCUCAUAGAAACCAGCUACUCGCAUCAUUCAAUGGAAAACAAAACGGUGAAAUCAACCGGUAAGACCCCUAUUGUUGCUGUCGCUGCUAUAACUGUGGCCUCUUGAGAUUCUGCCAAGAUGGUUGAAUCCAAACCAACAGGUUGAAUCCUUUCGUGAAUCAUCCUUAGGUGAUGCAUUUACGUUUAAAGUACUUCUAUAUUUCAAUCCAUAAUUGGAUACGUUUAUGCUUUUGUUCACACUUCUCAGAUCAGAAAACGAAUGCACACAACCAAGAUAUGCAUUAUAAGCUAAGACUAAGCUGGUGUUGAAGAAGAAGACAGAAUCUGGAGAAAAAAUCUGAGAAAAAUAAAUCCAUCUGAAAAAAAAUUAUGAGGAAGAAAUGUAUCAGACCAAGCAAAGGGAAAGAGGAAGAAGAAGAGUGUUGGUACAAAGUUGUUUCUUUAGGAGCUUGGUUUAUCGGGAUUGAAGUUGAACAUAUUGAUGAUAGACGAUUAUGCGGCGGCCCCUAAUUACGAUAAUAUAUACUUUGAAACUAAAGCCUUGAAGUGAAGAGAUCCCUAUCUUAAAAGAGAUGUCUUGUCCUUAUGGUGAUUGAGCGUAUAAAUCAAAGGAACCAUAAACUUUUAUCCAAAUAAGAAAGAUAUGUUGAGCAAUGUUAUUGAGGUUAAAUAUGAAAAUGGAGAAACUUGAGAUGACAAUUGCUUUGCAAAUCCAACUUUGAGAUGACUUUGCUGAAGUGAAUAUUGAGUAAUGAAUGUCUUUGAAGGAACCAUUGGACAGUCGUGGUUCCCGGAUCAUAUUUUUCAGCAGCGGCGGAAAGGGGAACUGUAGCGAAGAUGAUACUGGAGUUUAGAACCAUAACUAAGCUAUGUACAGCUAGGACUGGACCGAAGGGAGAGGCCGCGUCAACGUUGGGUUGGGAGGAUUGCAAGGAGAAUGUUGACAGAGAUGGUGGCGAUGACAUAAGAUGAAAUGAAGAUAAAGAGAAGAAACCAU